AGGUGCUGCAUGACUGUCGUCAGCUCGUGUUGUGAAAUGUUGGGUUAAGUCCCGCAACGAGCGCAACCCUUAUCCUUUGUUGCCAGCGGUCCGGCCGGGAACUCAAAGGAGACUGCCAGUGAUAAACUGGAGGAAGGUGGGGAUGACGUCAAGUCAUCAUGGCCCUUACGACCAGGGCUACACACGUGCUCCAAUGGCGCAUACAAAGAGAAGCGACCUCGCGAGAGCAAGCGGACCUCAUAAAGUGCGUUGUAGUCCGGAUUGGAGUCUGCAAUUCGACUCCAUGAAGUCGGAAUCGCUAGUAAUCGUAGAUCAGAAUGCUACGGUGAAUACGUUCCCGGCCCUUGUACACACCGCCCGUCACACCAUGGGAGUGGGUCCAAAAGAAGUAGGUAGGUUAACCUUCGGAACCGCCCGCCCACUUUAUUCCAGUCUCU
rnacentral:rRNA from 1 species